rnacentral:rRNA from 1 species
UACGUAGGGUCCGAGCGUUGUCCGGAAUUAUUGGGCGUAAAGGGCUCGUAGGCGGUUUGUCGCGUCGGGAGUGAAAACACCGGGCUUAACUCGGUGCUUGCUUUCGAUACGGGCAGACUGGAGGUAUGCAGGGGAGAACGGAAUUCCUGGUGUAGCGGUGAAAUGCGCAGAUAUCAGGAGGAACACCGAUGGCGAAGGCAGGUCUCUGGGCAUUAACUGACGCUGAGGAGCGAAAGCAUGGGGAGCGAACAGG